AUCCUUUCGUAGUGCAUAAGAAUGAUGACUGGGUAUUCAUGCUCUCAUGUGACAUGUGCCUCCCUCAAACCUUGUUACAACACAGGCACAUUAUCCAUACGAUG